GACGUAGGGGGCGAGCGUUGUCCGGAUUUAUUGGGCGUAAAGAGCUCGUAGGCGGCUUGUUGCGUCGGCUGUGAAAACCCAUGGCUCAGCCGUGGGCUUGCAGCCGAUACGGGCAGGCUAGAGUUCGGUAGGGGAGACUGGAAUUCCUGGUGUAGCGGUGAAAUGCGCAGAUAUCAGGAGGAACACCGGUGGCGAAGGCGGGUCUCUGGGCCGAUACUGACGCUGAGGAGCGAAAGCGUGGGGAGCGAACAGG
rnacentral:rRNA from 1 species